CAGGCGCGAAAACUUUACAAUGCGGGAAACCGUGAUAAGGGGACACCGAGUGCCAGCAUCAUAUGCUGGCUGUCCGGGUGUGUAAAAUACACCUGUUAGCAAGGGCCGGGCAAGACCGGUGCCAGCCGCCGCGGUAACACCGGCGGCCCGAGUGGUGAUCGUGAUUAUUGGGUCUAAAGGGUCCGUAGCCGGUUUGGUCAGUCCUCCGGGAAAUCUGACAGCUCAACUGUUAGGCUUUCGGAGGAUACUGCCAGACUUGGAACCGGGAGAGGUAAGAGGUACUACAGGGGUAGGAGUGAAAUCUUGUAAUCCCUGUGGGACCACCUGUGGCGAAGGCGUCUUACCAGAACGGGUUCGACGGUGAGGGACGAAAGCUGGGGGCACGAACCGGAUUAGAUACCCGGGUAGUCCCAGCCGUGAACGAUGCUCGCUAGGUGUCAGGCAUGGCGCGACCGUGUCUGGUGCCGCAGGGAAGCCGUGAAGCGAGCCACCUGGGAAGUACGGCCGCAAGGCUGAAACUUAAAGGAAUUGGCGGGGGAGCACAACAACGGGUGGAGCCUGCGGUUUAAUUGGACUCAACGCCGGACAACUCACCGGGGGCGACAGCAAUAUGUAGGCCAGGCUGAAGACCUUGCCUGAAUCGCUGAGAGGAGGUGCAUGGCCGUCGCCAGUUCGUACUGUGAAGCAU
rnacentral:rRNA from 1 species